GAUGAACGCUGGCGGCGUGCCUAAUACAUGCAAGUCGAACGAAUCACUUCGGUGGUUAGUGGCGAACGGGUGAGUAAUACGUAAGCAACCUGCCUAUGGGACUGGGAUAACGUUUGGAAACGGACGCUAAUACCGGAUAGGUAGAGAGGAGGCAUCUCUUCUCUAUUAAAGUUUAGAUACACCGAUAGAUGGACUUACGGCGCAUUAGCUAGUUGGUGAGGUAACGGCUCACCAAGGCGAUGAUGCGUAGCCGGACUGAGAGGUUGAACGGCCACAUUGGGACUGAGACACGGCCCAGACUCCUACGGGAGGCAGCAGUGGGGAAUAUUGCACAAUGGGCGAAAGCCUGAUGCAGCGACGCCGCGUGAGCGAAGAAGUAUUCGGUAUGUAAAGCUCUAUCAGCAGGGAAGAAAAUGACGGUACCUGACUAAGAAGCCCCGGCUAACUACGUG
rnacentral:rRNA from 1 species